rnacentral:rRNA from 1 species
AUGGCCGCUGCCUCGCCUGUACGAGGUCCUCCACGGCGAAGAGCGCGACCGGUGGCCGCCGGAGGCCAGGUUCCUCGAAGCCGCCCACAACGGCGACGUCCGCGAGAUCAAGAAGAUUGCAAAGGAGCUGGACCUGCAGGGGCGUGGGAUCCGGACGACGGUGGCCAACUGCCGAUCUACCGGUAUCUUGUCGAGGAGGUCAAGAUGGAUGCCGACAUGCCUGACACCGCUCAGGAGUUUACGCCCGUGUCGCAUGCCAUCAUGUAUGGCCACCUUCCCGCUGUCAGGUACCUUCUGGAUCAUGGCGCUGAUCUGCAUCAGCGACGUGGAAAAAUCACCCUUCUUCAUAUGGCUGUAGUUCAUGGGUACUAUGAAAUAGUGAAGUUUCUUCUUGCGAGGGGAGCUAAUGUCCAUGCUAUGUCAGAACUUGGGACACCACUCAUGGAUGCUACUCUUAGAGGAUUUCCUAGUAUUGUCAAGAUCCUUUUGGAGCACAAGUCAGAUCCCAACAUUGUUACUCGUAUACUUGGACCUUUAAACAUGGCAUUAGACAAAUCUUUCGUGUCCUGUGUGAAGCUAUUGAUUCAGGGUGGAGCUAAUGUGAGCGGUAUUUUUCCUCACUAUGAUCCUUUGCUGACGGCUGCAGAAAAGGGCUUAACUGAAGCUAUUAAGUGCUUGUUGGAAGCUGGUGCAAACCCAAAUGUUUUGGACAGGUUUGCUAGGUUGCCAAUAGAGUUGGCUGUUGAGUAUGGUACACGGGAAGACGUUGAGAUUCUCUUUCCUUUCACCUCUCCUGUUUCAACUGUGGCAAAUUGGAGUGUUGAUGGAAUCAUUAGUCAUGUGAAGAUGGAAAUCAAGCAAUUUGAGGAUGACAAUUUUGUGAAAAAGAGGAUGUCCGAGCUGAAACUCCAAGCGGAUGAAGCAUUUAAGAAGCAAAAUUAUGUAAAUGCAUCAGUGCUCUACACACAGGCACUGAAGAUGGAUAACUUCGAUGCUAAGUUGUUAUCAAACAGGAGCCUCUGCUGGCUUCGCAUGGGUGAUGGACAAAGGGCUUAUGAUGAUGCAACUGAAUGCAAGAUAAUUUGCCCGAACUGGGCAAAGGCGCACUAUCGGCAAGGAGCAGCUCUAAUGUUCAUGAAGGCAUAUGGUGGAGCUUAUGAAGCACUCUCGCGUGCUUUAGAGUUGGACCCAGGAAACAAAGACGUUGAGAAAUUAUUCUGGCAGGCGAUGGAACUGAAGUGA